rnacentral:rRNA from 1 species
GAUGAACGCUGGCGGCGUGCCUAAUACAUGCAAGUCGAGCGAACAGACGAGGAGCUUGCUCCUCUGACGUUAGCGGCGGACGGGUGAGUAACACGUGGAUAACCUACCUAUAAGACUGGGAUAACUUCGGGAAACCGGAUCUAAUACCGGAUAAUAUAUUGAACCGCAUGGUUCAAUAGUGAAAGACGGUUUUGCUGUCACUUAUAGAUGGAUCCGCGCCGCAUUAGCUAGUUGUUAAGGUAACGGCUUAACAAGGCGACGAUGCGUAGCCGACCUGAGAGGGUGAUCGGACACACUGGAACUGAGACACGGUCCAGACUCCUACGGGAGGCAGCAGUAGGGAAUCUUCCGCAAUGGGCGAAAGCCUGACGGAGCAAAGCCGCGUGAGUGAUGAAGGUCUUCGGAUCGUAAAACGCUGUUAUUAGGGAAGAACAAAUGUGUAAGUAACUAUGAACGUCUUGACGGUACCGAAUCAGAAAGCCACGGCUAACUACGUG